AUGGCCAUCGAAAUCCCAAUUGAUUCAUCACCAUCACCUUAUCUUUUUUCUUCAUUGAUUCAUCACAAUCACCAAAUAACGAAGGCCACUUCUCGAUUAUCACUUCUGGCCGUGAACAGUAGUACGAUAAUGGGAUGGAAAAGAAAAUUAGUGAGGAGUGAUGGAGGUUUUUGGCAGCAACAAAAGCAUUACAGUAGCAGCAUUUUGGACAAUGACAAAGCAGUAGGACCUUGUUUCCUUGUGGACAAAUUUUUGGAAUUGUUUUUUGACAGUUUUGACAGGAGCUUUUGGCAUUAUUAUGCAGUUUUUUGGCAGCUUUUGCAACUAUCUGAUGUUGCACCUUCUGGUGUGACAUCUUGA